GCUUGAAAGGCAGACUAAAAAUCUUUCUCCUUUUGUAAUCACCAGUUGGUGGAACAGUGCACAAAUACUCCAAAUACAGUGGCAAAUUUGCAAAAUUGAAUUCCUGCUAAUCUACACAUAAACUGUGAAAACAUGAGGGCUCCC
rnacentral:lncRNA from 1 species